CCCUCCCUCGGCGCGCGCGGCGGGGGGGCGGGGGCACGGGGGGCCUACGGGAGGCAGCAGUAGGGAAUAUUGGGCAAUGGAGGCAACUCUGACCCAGCCAUGCCGCGUGCAGGAAGACGGUCCUCUGGAUUGUAAACUGCUUUUGAAUGGGAAGAAUGUGCGGCUUGCGAGCUGUAAUGACGGUACCAU
rnacentral:rRNA from 1 species